rnacentral:rRNA from 1 species
GAUGAACGCUAGCUACAGGCUUAACACAUGCAAGUUGAGGGGCAGCAGGGAUUUAGCUUGCUAAAUCCGCUGGCGACCGGCGCACGGGUGCGUAACGCGUAUCCAACCUUCCCGUUACUCUGGGAUAGCCUUCCGAAAGGGAGAUUAAUACCGGAUGGUGUUCAAUUGGUGCAUAUUAUUUGAACUAAAGAUUUAUCGGUAACGGAUGGGGAUGCGUACCAUUAGAUAGUAGGCGGGGUAACGGCCCACCUAGUCUACGAUGGUUAGGGGUUCUGAGAGGAAGGUCCCCCACACUGGAACUGAGACACGGUCCAGACUCCUACGGGAGGCAGCAGUGAGGAAUAUUGGUCAAUGGAGGCAACUCUGAACCAGCCAAGUAGCGUGAGGGAUGACUGCCCUACGGGUUGUAAACCUCUUUUGUCGGGGAAUAAACCGCGCCACGUGUGGCGCCCUGCAUGUACCUUACGAAUAAGCAUCGGCUAAUUCCGUG